rnacentral:rRNA from 1 species
UACGAACUGUGCGACCGUUAUUCGGAAUCACUGGGCUUACAGGGUGCGUAGGCGGCCUUCCAAGUCAGGUGUGGAAUCCCCCAGCUCAACUGGGGAACAGCGCUUGAAACUGGUUGGCUUGAGUCAGCUAGAGGUGCACGGAACUUCCGGUGGAGCGGUGAAAUGUGUUGAUAUCGGAAGGAACACCAGAGGCGAAAGCGGUGCACUGGAGCUGGUCUGACGCUGAGGCACGAAAGCCAGGGGAGCGAACGGG